CAAGUCUUUUGGUUCAAACGAAGGCUAUGUGCAGUGAGCAGAUGGAGCAGUAAUGAGUGGCAGCUUUGCGAGGGUUGACCAAGCUCAAACUUUGAAAGAUAUUUUUUCGGAUUUUGUGACACACCCGAACUAUCACAUUUUAUAUCGGAUGGUUAUAAGUAAUUGUGACCUCCUUAUAUAAAAAGAGAUGGUCUCAUUUUAUACAAUCCUAUUUAUUCACCUUAAAUUUCGAGGAAUAUGGAUUCCAUCUGCCCAAAGGUUCCAAGGCGCUAAUGAAAGAUCAUUUAUUUUCCCUUAAAUUUUUUUAUUUGACAGAAUAAAUAUGGGUUGGAUUCUAAACAUGGCGGUGUUAAAUUUGUAUGUAGUCCAUGUCAUUUUCAUUUUUUAAGUAAAUAAACAUAUACAUACUUGCCAUGUCAUGGCUUUUAUGUUUCCUGUGACAAUUAUAUUUGGGGCCAGUUUGGAGGGCCUUGUGAGGUGAUGUAUUGUCUACCCUAAUUAGGGAUAAAAGAUUUUUCUUUUUUUUGCUUUUUCCAUUAGAUGGCCCAACUCUAGUUUCCUCAUCUUUUAAACCUUUAAAGCAUGAUGGCAAAUUUAUUUUCCCUCCUCAGUACGAGAUUUGAAGUUUUCAAAAGGAAAGAUGCGCAGUUUUUAAUAGUUAAAAUCUUUUUGUGUUUUCAUAUAGGGAUGUCAAAAUAGUCAUUUGAGCGUAUCAAAGCGUUUAAAACAACAUUUUUUUUAGUAUGUACACGAUGCACACUAUUCGUUUACUCCCUCGCGCGAAACACCAAUUUAGAAAUAUUAUUUUUGUUUAAUUUUUGGGACCACAUAAGAACUAUUACAUGAUUCUUUUAAAAAGAAAAAAAAGUUGAAUUUUGAGUUUUGGGCACUUUGAUCUAGCUCUUCAAAAAUUGGACGGUCAGUAUUCAAUCUUGAGGAUUUAUUUUCUUCUAGUAUGUAUAAAGUUUAUUCUGGAAUUUUUUUAUUAAGAUUAGUUUAUGGGUUGUAGAGAUACCUCCUCAAAUUUUGAAAUCUAGAAGGUAUUCUUAGCUUGUGGUAUGCCCAAGGGAGUAAAUGGAUAGUGUAUUCCUGCAUGAGUAGGAAAUCUUUUGGCUUUUUCUAUGGCCUCUUAGUAAACAGGUGAGGACUUACAUACACCUUUAAUUGUUUUUGAC
rnacentral:lncRNA from 1 species